rnacentral:rRNA from 1 species
UCUGCCUUGAAGAUCGGAGUGCUUGCACUCUGUGAAACAAGAUACAGGCUAGCGGCGGACGGGUGAGUAACACGUGGGUAACCUGCCCAAGAGAUCGGGAUAACACCUGGAAACAGAUGCUAAUACCGGAUAACAACAGAUGAUGCCUAUCAACUGUUUAAAAGAUGGUUCUGCUAUCACUCUUGGAUGGACCUGCGGUGCAUUAGCUAGUUGGUAGGGUAACGGCCUACCAAGGCGAUGAUGCAUAGCCGAGUUGAGAGACUGAUCGGCCACAUUGGGACUGAGACACGGCCCAAACUCCUACGGGAGGCAGCAGUAGGGAAUCUUCCACAAUGGACGCAAGUCUGAUGGAGCAACGCCGCGUGAGUGAAGAAGGGUUUCGGCUCGUAAAGCUCUGUUGUUGGUGAAGAAGGACAGGGGUAGUAACUGACCUUUGUUUGACGGUAAUCAAUUAGAAAGUCACGGCUAACUACGUGCCAGCAGCCGCGGUAAUACGUAGGUGGCAAGCGUUGUCCGGAUUUAUUGGGCGUAAAGCGAGUGCAGGCGGCUCGAUAAGUCUGAUGUGAAAGCCUUCGGCUCAACCGGAGAAUUGCAUCAGAAACUGUCGAGCUUGAGUACAGAAGAGGAGAGUGGAACUCCAUGUGUAGCGGUGAAAUGC